rnacentral:lncRNA from 1 species
CUGCUCGCCAGUACACUGCAGAAGGACCGGUCACUGCUCUACAGUCCCGGCUCCGGUUCUCGUCCCGCCCUGGCCCCAGGUUCCUGAACCCAGCUGGAACGCCCUAAGCCCCUGCUAGGUGAUGACCCAGACCUGUGAGCCCUCACCUGCGGGCCCUGAGCGUCGCUCCCGGCUCCUGGCGAGGCAGACGCUUUCCGCUUCCUGCUAACUGCUUUCCGGGCCAUAGUGGGCAGCGCCGCCGUGGCCCCGCAGCCACAUGAGGCGGAGAAGGCAAGGGGCGGCAGGGCGACGGGUCAUGAACCGGGCCCUGGGGCCGCGCGCUUUCGAGCGCCCGGCCCGGAAAAUGGCUCGGAUCCCGGGCAGCAGUCGAUCAAAAUGAGGCGCGUAAAUGGAAGAAGGGAAAAUCCGGGUUGGGAAAGGGGAAGGGGAAGGGAAGGGGAAGGAAAAGCAGGAACAAGCAGCUUUCCUACCGCCGUGUCUGGAAAGGACGGCGAGCGGCGAGAACCAAAACACCCCCCUCCCACUCGCCCGCGCCCCGUCACUCCUGCGCAGCCGCACAUAGCAGCACGUCGCCACGGAGACACCGCCCAGACCAGCAGGGCGGGACUUAAGCGCAGCAAGGAGAAUUGAUGUCCUCGGAGAACUUCCGCUUGCCUCUUGCCAAUGGCGGUUAAGCUGUGGCCAAAGGAAUCCAGCCUUCUGUCGGGACAUUUCCGACCUCAGCCAGCUCAUCCUCUGGCAUGCGGAAGUAAGCAUGAGCUGCCUGGCUGCGGGACCAAUCUUGAACCUGUAACCAUCAUGGUAGGAUUAAAGAUAUUCUAGACACCCUGAUUGCCAGAUUGCAAUCAGACUAUUAAAACACUGGACUCUAAGAAAUUGCAGUUUUCCUGGGAGAAGGAAAGGACAAGGGCACAGAUGCCAGCCAAUAGAGGAACUUGACUCCAGGAAAGAUAGAUCACAGUUGGGAAAACUUGUCAGACUACCUUCCCAGAGAAACUGGGCGAACAGAUGAUGGAUGCGACCACACCUUGCCGACGACUGCUUACUUAAGCAUAGCUGUUGCCUUUAAGCCUAAACAAACCACACGUCAGCCCCUAAGAUGGACUAGGAUAAGAGAAUGUCCCGUCGUUGUUCUUUCCAAUGAGACCGAGUUAACACCUUUCUUCAAGUUUCCCCUUACACUUUGUCUUUUAGUUGGCCUGUUGAGAAUGAGUUAAGGCUGCUAGGGCCCAGGUUCUGACCCUUCCUUAUACCUCAGAAGACGUUUCUUAAUCCUGUAACUAGUAGCCUCACAUUUAGCACUUUCCCCCAACAUUCUCACAAACUGUCAAUGGGCACAAAAGAUUAGACACUUUAAGGAAGGCAGAGAACCCCACAUCACACUCCUUCAAGAUGGAUUCAGGGUAGGAAGGCAGCAGUAUGGUCAGAUUUUUGCCACAUCAAAGUACCAGAGCUAACGCAGGCUGCCUCACAUGCCUGUUGGCACAGGUCUCCCCACACAUACGGAGUCCCCAGAUUCCAUUCUCCACUUCUUUACUCUCCAGCUCCCUGUCUAUUUUGACUCCUGUCUAAACCUCAAGUCACUUUUCCCCUUCUUUUAUUUAUUCCUUUUCUUUCUUUCCUUUUUUUUUUGAGACAGGGUUUCAGUGUAUAGUCUUGGCUGGUCUGGAACGCAGCAUGUUAUAUAAAUCAAUCUGGCCUCAAAAGUUAUAGAGCUCCACAUGCCUCUGCCUCCCCAGAGCUGAGUUAAAGGUGUGUGCAACCACAUCUAAUAAGUCACUUUCUUUCAUAAAAUGCCACCCUUUUUAGGUCUGCAAGGUCAAAGUCACACUGUCCUUGUGCUUCAGCAAAUAGACCCAUCGCUGUAAUUCAUGCCAUUGCCUGCCUUUCUCUCGGAGCCCAGCCUUGAUCUCCAUUAAGGAGUGAAAUCUUGAACCACAGAAAAGAGAGUGGUCAUUUUUGGCAUGUCCGGUUUGGACUGGCACCAGUCACCAAACAAAGCGGGAUCACCCUUGCCUCCAUUUUCCGAAGAUCCUGAAGGAAUGUGAGUGCCAGCUUCCACUUUCCUCAGGCAAAGAAACCCUUGGAGGAAGCAGGAUGUUCUUGCUUGAGACUGACUGGCCUCAGGCUGUGGUGCCCAGUUACCUGCUGGUCCCUUCAGCUUCAGGCCUCAUACCUCCAGGGAACUGUGUUGGCCCAUCUGCCGUUCUGCCUACAAGAAGAUUUGAUUUGUUUUCCAGGUUGAAAUGAUGUGCCACCACCCCAGAUCAGCACUGCAACUAACCCCUAAUACUACCUUGGGAGAGGCAGCCCCAUCUUUCCUGAUUAGGCUUGUGUCUUCGGAGAUUAACACAUUGUGAGCGGGCAGGACUGUGGCAGCCCUCCCUUUCUGAGUCUGUUCUGGUUCUGUCUUGCCUCACAAUGCUCUAGAUGACCCAGUCGUUCACUGGACAAGAGUUUGGAACCCUUUGAGGAUCUCCAGGCUCAGGCUGAGUGGGGCUGGACUCCUGGCAUCCUCAGUCCAUGUCAGGACACACAGGACACUGGUGCAGCUUCAUUCUAGACUGAAUCACCAAAGAGCAAGCACGGGCUGGACCUAGGCCCCCUGCAUAUAUAUAGCAGAUGAGCCACUUGAUCUUCAUGCAGGUCUCCCAAACAACUGGAGCUGGGGCUGUCCCUGAGUCUGUUGCCUGCUUGUGGAUGCUGCGCCCCUAAAUGGACAGUCUUGUCUGGCCUGGGUGGGAGAAGAUGUGCCUACUCCUCCUGCAGGGACUUGAUGUGCAGGGGGCGGGGGUGGGGGAGUGACAUUUGAGAUGGGGGCUUCCCCUUCUCUUUGAGAAGGGGGAUGGGGGAAGGACCUGCAUAAGGGGGUAUUGGGAGGAGAGCGAGAGCUGAUAUUGGGUUGUAAAGGGAAUAAAUUUAAUAAAAAAAUUAUUUACUGUAAAUUAAUUAAUUAAUUAAAUGGAAAGGGCUCAAGAUGUGACUUAGUUGUGGAGUGCUUGCCCAGUACCCCAAACCCUGAGUUCUGUCCUCAGCACUGGAGAAACAAAGCAAAACAAAACCCAAAGCAAGAAAGAGCAGAUUGACAGGGAAAGGUGCCUGACAGACAUCCGGAGCUCAGUCUUUCAGGUACCCAUCAAAUAAACCUGAACCUGAACCCUGGGCCUCUGGUCUGCAGAAAUGUAAGGUCUACAGCAUUGAAUGUCCAGGUGGGAUUGAUGUUGGAAAAAAACAACACUUUUUUCUUUUAGUAUUUUCCUUGUAUUCUUAGUGUUUUUCUAUUGAUUCAGAACCUGAAAUAUCCCCAACACCAACUCCUUUGAGAGUACAGAUUAUAUUUAUAUAUGACUUGGAACAACACACACUGGUAGGAUUUAUAAGUACAGACAAUUGGAGUUGGUGAUUAUUAUUUUCUUUCAGUGUGAGGGACCCAGUGCAGGGCGUCCGUGCACACUAAGCAAACACUCUGCCACUGAGCUAACCCCAGCUCCGAGCUUCUGAGUGAGUUAUUGAGGUUCCUUGUUUGCCUACUCUCCUGCCUGUCAAUCUCUCUGUUAUGCGAGAAAAUGAAAAGAUAAAACUUUCAUACUC